UUGGCGGUCGAAAGCGUGAAGCAGGCCGCAAUCGACAGGAAGUUCGCAACGAACUGACAAUUCUGAACGCUGAUGUUAUCCGCCGAAACCGGGAUGGUCGCGGUGUUCGCCGUGUCGAUAAUUCGGGCGGUGCGAUCCGAGGCCGAGACCCACAAUAGCCACGCCGGCGACGUUGAAGUUCAGCGCGGUCGCGGAAGAGACGGUCUCAGCGUGACCUGGUUUGAUGAAG
rnacentral:misc_RNA from 1 species